AGCAUGUGGGCAGAUCCCUCAAACCCCCAUGUCCUCAAACCUCCAAGCCCGAGAAAUUUGCAGAACUCAUAACAUAGGAAGUAACUUGGAUUUGAGCUGACUUCAGCCUGGGUCUCAUGUCCAGAGAAGACACACUCAAAUAAGGAAGUCCCAUGAAGAAGAGAUGGAGAGGUUCCAAUCUAGCCUGAAAGCCCUGAGGGAGCUGAGAGUCUCAGGUAUUAUUUCAUUGGGAGAUGUCAAGGGUCUGGUUUGGGGCAGGUGGAAGGGGUGGGGGUGCAAGGCCUUAUCAUAACAUCACCUGACUCACUCUUGGGGAGGGACUGGAUAGCAGGGCACAAAUAUCCCUGUAGCCUCUGGAAGUCCCAAAGCACUCCCAGCUUCCUGAAGCCCAGUACCUUAGAACCUAACGUUCCUACCAUGAGACUUUUACUUGCUGUCCUUCUGUUGGCUAGCUCGGUGAUUUACUACUGUGAUGCUAUUUCCCUGGAUAUGUUUAAAAAGUUCACCUUAGAGCGCAUUGGUUUUAUGAGAGACCUCAUGCUGACUAUAAUUGAUAAGAAGGAAUGUGUGCAACAACUAAGUGAGGAGCAAAUUAAAUUCCUGAAUGAGUUUGUGGAAAAAUGGAAGACUACUAAAACAGCUGUUACCCCCUAGGAACUCUCUGGAGCCAAACGGACUUCUUGUCGACCAAGGACCCACUCACUGUAGAAUGUAGACCUGAAUGUUGCCUGUGAUCCUGAGGGCCCACUCCAAAGCUUUCUCUCA
rnacentral:lncRNA from 1 species